GGGCUCUCAUUUUGCUUGGAUUUGCGUCAGUAAAAGCUGAUUGCCCAGUGCCACAGAGGAGUGCAAUCGAAUGAAGGGAAUUCCGAGGAGAAGAAUGGUCUGAUUGGUGCCUGCAGAACACAUCUGACAUGGAGGGCCCCACCUGCCCCAUCCUCGGGCAGCAGGCUAUCUUCAAUCAAUCACUCAACUCAUAGAGAACAUGACAUCACUCAGGCUCACACUACUAUUGAGGACCUCUUGAGUUCCCCUGCUGCUGUCCCCAAUGCCCUCUCUUCUCUUCCUCCCCCUCCUCUGUGACUCUCUUCGGUGACGGGUAUUCUUGGGUGGAUAAUACGGAUCACGUUGUUAUUGCUUAAGAAUACGCGUAGUUGAGGAGAGUCCUCUCGACACCGACUUGGAGGAGCUAAAGGAGCUAACGUCCCGCUGCAUGAGCCAAAGUAGAGCCAGGAUGACUGCCUGGUUUCCAUAUCCAGGACCAUUUAUCAUGUAACUGGACAGAUUAACAAAGCCUAAUUACUUUACUGGGCUUUCAGCUACGCUUUCCAGCCCCUAUAGACGCUAGCAGCAAGAAGAGAGAAAGCAAGAGAGAGAGAGAGAGCGAGAGAGAGAGAAAGCGAGAGAAAGAGCGAGAGAGAGAGAGAGAGAGAGAGAGAGAUAUUAAACUCUUACAGUUACCUCUCCCAGGAUGUUUUUUCGCAGUAUCAUAUUAUUGUGCAGUGUAAUAUGAUUUGAUUAACCAUUCUGACGAAUGUUGUGUCUUCUGUGUAUCGACUCCACCAGUGUUUAUUUAUUAUUUAGCAUUUUGUACAAUUUGUUCAUUUUGCCUUUCCGGAUGAAACAGGCUAUUAUGUUCGUUUUCACUUUAGGGAGUCGUGUCUUGUACUACAGGCUUGCUUGGUGCAGUAAUGGACAUUUGUAUUGGUCUUAAAAAUGCAAAAGACCUCCUACGCAACAUUUAGCUUGCAUACAAAUAGAUUUUGUGGUAACACGGUUUCUGGCCUCAGGACUGCUGCCCAGAGAUGGCCAUAUUGCCUGCGGAUACCUCAUUGAGAGUGAAAGAGUAGAUUGGGAGAAUAUGUCAGGAGAAUGAAAAACUAUGAAGGAGUAACUGAAUUUGAACCCAAAAUAUGUAUAUUAUACAUCAGUCCUGUGUAUCAAUACUAAAGGAAAUUUUAUUACAGAGAGCUGGUUGUUAGUGAUCACAGAGUAAAUAUCAAUACUCAGAGAAACUGCACUGGCACAUUUAAUUUAUUCCACAAUCUUGCGCCAUACAGGCCAUCCCUCUGGAGAUAAAUUCUGCAAGCCCAGUAACAUCAUUCCCUGACUUAAUGUGUUUGCGACAAAGGGACAUUCUCAUCCAAAAUGAUUUGCACAUCAAGAAGAGUCAUUACGCUUUAAUGGUGUUGGGAAAUGACCCUCUCUUAGCUUACGCUGGUGGAAAUCAAUGAGGCCUGCAUUACAGUGUUAUUGUGGCGGUCAUUUUCUGCUGAAUCAUGCUGUUUAAUUUCUUGCCCUUCGACAAAUCAUCCACCGACUUAUCAAUUUGGCCAGAGAGCUUACGUUUGAUUGCAUUAGAUGAGAUCACAUAAAAUAAAUAACAUAAUUGAAGUUCCUCUAAAAAUGCUACCAUGACAUCUCUUGAGUCUGCUAUGAAUCUAAUGAUCCUAUCAAUCUCAAGCUUAUCUAAGACUGAAAGGAGAAGGCAAAUGUCUGCUCGAGCCUCUAUUGAAUCUAUUUGUACUGUCAUAAUUGGAUCCUACCAGUAGGGGAGCACUGUAGCUCACAGUCAGACAAUGAACUCAAUGAACUGUUAGCAAAGCUGUGUGUUUGGCAGGACAAAUGGGCAUGCUUUUGACCUUCUGUAAUUUCCGUUUAUGACAUUUUGAACAUCAUUUUCUCAUCAGACAUUUUCGUUAAUUGACUGUAUCUAUUUUAAUGGCAUGUUGAAAACCCAGACAAUCUGUAAAAUAUUGUGGUCCGAAAACAAUAUGACAAACAAUAAACAAACCAUUUGAAAUAUG